GGAGAACGCCGGCCAUUCAAAUAGUAAAUAAUAGAGGGUCAGCUUGCUGAUGAGGCGCUUCGGCGCCGAAACACCGUGUC
rnacentral:misc_RNA from 1 species